CCUACGGGUGGCAGCAGUGAGGAAUAUUGGUCAAUGGGCGGAAGCCUGAACCAGCCAAGCCGCGUGAAGGAAGAAGGCCCCAGGCGUCGUAAACUUCUUUUGUCGGGGAACAAAGGGCGCUACGCGUGGCGGUGUGAGUGUACCCGAAGAAAAAGCAUCGGCUAACUCCGUGCUAGCAGCCGCGGUAAUACGGAUGGUGCGAGCGUUAUCCGGAUUUAUUGGGUUUAAAGGGUGCGUAGGCGGUGCGUAAAGCUCGGGGUGAAAGCCCCGGGCUGAACCCCGGCCGAGCCGUUCAAACGGGCGGACUAGAGUCGGCGAGAAGUAGGCGGAAUGCGUGGUGUAGCGGUGAAAUGCAUAGAUAUGGCGAAGAACGCCGAUUGCGAAGGCAGCGUACCGGCGCCGGACUGACGCUGAGGCACGAAAGCGUGGGUAUCGAACAGGAUUAGAUACCCGAGUAGUC
rnacentral:rRNA from 1 species